UCCACUGUGAAGUGGAAUCUGAAGGAAGUCUGAGGAGCAAAAUACCGCACCAAUGAACAAGAAGUAGCUAUAAGGUACUAUCCCCUGUCAAGUUAACACUUAUAAAAACGAAAACACAAUUUUUCUUAUCCAACCAAAUCGUGGUAAUAUUCCGCCACGGUUUGGUCAUUUCU
rnacentral:ncRNA from 1 species